CCUUUUGAAUUUAAUUUAAGGUCUAAUCUGCCCACUGAGUGAUUAAAUGGCCGCGGUAUUUUGACCGUGCGAAGGUAGCAUAAUCAUUAGUUUCUUAAUUAAAAGCUGGAAUGAAAGAUUGAAUGAGAAAAUAACUGUCUCAAAUUAAUUUAGUUAGAAUUUUAUUUUUAAGUUAAAAAGCUUAAAUAUUAUUAAAAGACGAGAAGACCCUAUAGAGUUUUAUAUUUAAUUUAAAUUUAAAUAAAUUGUUUAUAUAAAUUUAAUUUAAAUUAAUUAUUUUGUUGGGGUGACAAAAAAAUUAAAUAAACUUUUUUUUUAUUUUAAUACUAAUUUGUAAAUUAUUGAUCCAAAGUUUUUGAUUAUAAGAUUAAAUUACCUUAGGGAUAACAGCGUAAUUUUUUUUAAGAGUUCUUAUCGAAAAAAAAAAUUGCGACCUCGAUGUUGAAUUAAAAUUAAGUUUUGGUGUAGAAGCUAAAAUUUUAGGUCUGUUCGACCUUUAAAACUUU
rnacentral:rRNA from 1 species